UGUGCAAGUAGCAGUUGCCACGUAAUGGCGCGUGUCAAGCUGUCAUAAUGUCAGGUCAUUAACUAGUAAAACACGCCUGUUCAUCAUUUUGUGGUACUAUUGCGAUCCGAUUCUCGUACAAACAAAGAAAAAGCCUUUUUGAAAGUUGCCAUUUCAAUUCUUACGUAUUUAUACAGCUUUGGCUUGUAGGAAACGUUGUGCAAUCUGCACGAAUGUCUCGCUUUCAUUUAUGUUGGUGAGAGCAAUUUAAUGGAGGUAAAGCGUGAAUCAGGGACUUGAUUUGCCAAUUUCAAAUCAUUGGUUUGUCAACAUUCUAUCCAUGACAACAUCCCACAUUCUGGAUGAACAUUUAUUAUUCUGACGCCAUUUGGAAUUCUGUGGUGCUCAAUGUUUUCACAUAGUUAGGUGACGAUUGUUAUAGGACCUAUCUACCUCGUUCAGAUAUCGAGCUUUGCAAGGUUCCCGAAGGCAGCGGUAGAAAUGCAAGAAACUAAUUUGAAAACUUGUUAACACAAAAUGCAUUGUUAAUUUUUUUUUUUUUUUAUCGGAACAUCAGACGUUCUAAAUGGAAAGUUGUUGUUUUAGACAUGCGCCUAGCAGUGAGAUGACAAAUGUGAAAAAUUUAUGAAAUAUAUGAACAGGGCGAUUUGCGGAACUUAGA